rnacentral:tRNA from 1 species
UGGCUCAGUUGGUAGAGAGCAUUGCGCUUGCAACGCCAAGGUUGUGGAUUCGAUGCCCAC